rnacentral:rRNA from 1 species
CGGGUGAGUAACAUGUAUCCAACCUGCCGUCUACUCUUGGACAGCCUUCUGAAAGGAAGAUUAAUACAAGAUGGCAUCAUGAGUCCGCAUGUUCACAUGAUUAAAGGUAUUCCGGUAGACGAUGGGGAUGCGUUCCAUUAGAUAGUAGGCGGGGUAACGGCCCACCUAGUCUUCGAUGGAUAGGGGUUCUGAGAGGAAGGUCCCCCACAUUGGAACUGAGACACGGUCCAA